rnacentral:rRNA from 1 species
GACGAACGCUGGCGGCGUGCUUAACACAUGCAAGUGGAGCGACGAACCAGGCUUUCGGCCUGGGGCAGAGCCGCGAACGGGUGAGUAACACGUGGGUAACCUACCUCGAAGACCGGGACAACCCGAGGAAACUCGGGCUAAUACCGGAUGUGGUCACUGUGCACAAGUGCAGUGAACAAAGGAAGCUUCGGCCUCCGCUUCGGGAGGGGCCCGCGGCCCAUUAGCUUGUUGGUGAGGUAACGGCUCACCAAGGCUUCUAUGGGUAGCUGGUCUGAGAGGACGAUCAGCCACACUGGGACUGAGACACGGCCCAGACUCCUACGGGAGGCAGCAGUGGGGAAUCUUGCGCAAUGCACGACAGUGUGACGCAGCGACGCCGCGUGGGGGAAGACGGCCUCGG